CAUCAAUUAGCACUCCAAGCUUAAAUAGGUCACAAGAAACAUCUCCUUUUAAAUUGUGAAGAAAUAUGGUGGCGGGUGUGAGCAGGAAGAUAUCAGCAGAAUACCAAAACAGAGCACUCCUCUUCAACUUCCUUCAGGUUUACAUUUUGUCUUGAAGAUAGAAGGAGAUCCAAAUUGCAAAAUUUGUUUCCUGAGGAGCACGGUUAGAUAGAGGACUGGGAGGAUGAGCCAAUUUUACCUC